UACGUAGGGGGCAAGCGUUGUCCGGAUUUACUGGGCGUAAAGAGCGUGUAGGCGGCCACGCAGGUCCGUUGUGAAACUGGAGGCUCAACCUUCAGACGUCGACGGAAACCGUGUGGCUAGAGUCCGGAAGAGGAGAGUGGAAUUCCUGGUGUAGCGGUGAAAUGCGCAGAUAUCAGGAAGAACACCAAUGGCGAAGGCAGCUCUCUGGGACGGUACUGACGCUAGACGCGAAAAG
rnacentral:rRNA from 1 species